rnacentral:tRNA from 1 species
AGUUUUAUAUUUUAAAUUAAACUAUUAAAAUGCAAUUUUAAAGAUGUAUAUAAAUCACUAAAACUU